CCCCCACCCCACGACGCCGAGACAGCCGCCCCCUCCCUCCUAUGUACGGUGUUAGGUGUUCUUUCCCCUUCACGAGAUUUCCUCUUCCAUGAUCUCUUGCACCGUAUGAUGGAUCAAGAAACUAGUUGCAAAAACGGAAUGAGGAGGAGGAGAGGAAGAAGAGGAGUGGUGAAUUGGUGUUUUCCGUCAUAUUUAUUUUUGUUCUCCAUAAAACCCUAGGUUGUGGUGCUCCGGAUAAUGCUUGGUAUCGUCUCUUCGUUGUUCGAGUCUUUUCAGGUACAUGCCAUGACAUGUUUUCAUGAAGGGAUGGGAUUAGCUACACUGUCGCACGACAUGAACUCACUUAGUCAUGAUUAUUGUAAUAUGUUGAUAAGAUUACUUGUGUUUAGACAUAAUGGGUUAAUUAAAUACUAGAGUUAUUGACCAUUGUUUAACUACUCUUUCAAGGAUAUCCCUGCAUGUCCAUCAAUUGUUGUAACAUAACCUUAAUCUAUAUGUUGAUGCUUCCGUGAUGUUUUCUUGUCU
rnacentral:sRNA from 1 species